rnacentral:rRNA from 1 species
CCCAGUCGAGCGGCGAACGGGUGAGUAACGCGUGGAUAACCUGCCCAGAGGUGGGGGAUAACCCGGGGAAACUCGGGCUAAUACCGCAUAUGACCGUGGGGUCAAAGGGGGCUCGCAAGAGCUCUCGCCAUUGGAGGGGUCCGCGUACGAUUAGCUAGUUGGUAGGGUAAUGGCCUACCAAGGCGACGAUCGUUAGCCGGCCUGAGAGGGUGAUCGGCCACACUGGAACUGAGACACGGUCCAG